CUACGGGGCGCUCCAGGUAGGUAUCUUUUGCAAUGCGCGAAAGCGUGACAAAGCGAACCAGAGUGCUUUUCUAUUGAAAAGCUUUUGCCAAAUUUAAAAAAUUUGGCGAAUAAGGACUGGGCAAGACUAGUGCCAGCCGCCGCGGUAAUACUAGCUGUUCAAGUCGCAACCAUUUUUAUUGGGUCUAAAACAUUCGUAGCUUGUUUGAAAAGUUCCUUGUGAAAUCUCGUCUCUCGAAGGCGAGGCGUGCGAGGAAUACUUUCAAACUAGAGACUGGAAGACGUAAGAAGUACGUUCGAAGUAGUGGUAAAAUGUGUUAAUCUCGGACGGACUAACAACAGCGAAGGCAUCUGACGAGGACAGUUCUGACAGUAAAGGAUGAAGGCUAGGGGCGCAAAACGGAUUAGAUACCCGGGUAGUC
rnacentral:rRNA from 1 species